AUUUAAUUCCUUUAUUAACAGACACACAAAUGUUUGCGUGUGUGAUAGAGUUUAGUAGUGACCCUUUCAAGCGCAGAUGCACCAGAGAGGAAAGCAAUCCAAAGAUAGUUAAGGAGAGAAAAAUGAGGGGAGAAAAUGGAGGGGGAAAAAUUUAGGCAGUAGCUGGAGGAGAAUGUUGAGAUAGGAAAUGUAGCCUAUUAAUGGUGAGAGAAAGGUGUAAGAGAGAACAGGAAGAAAAUGUGAAGAGGGAUGGGUGAUUUGGAAGAUCAUUUAUAGAGCAGUAGAGGAUUGCUGAGUAGGGUUUAGUACACCUGAGAUUUAUAAUCUUUAAUUGAACAUAUUAGUCAUCUUGGUGAGGUGUUUUUGUUUUUAUUUUUCCAUUAGCUAUUUGAAUGCAGGAAUGGAGUAAGUAGAAAGUAGAGUUUAACCAAGGAUAGAGCUUUGCAAAGUGAGUCCAAGGAGAGGGAAAGGAAUGGAAACUUAGUGCUUUUAAUAGAUGUGAUUCUAUGGUUCAUAGAUUGAGGGAGAUGAUGAGUAGUAAAAAAGAAAAAGAAAAAGGUGGUACAAUCAAUGGAAUUGUUGAGUUGUAGCACCAAAGUCAAACUAGAUACGGGGUGCUCAAGAUAAAGAUUCAGAGGUGGUACAGUUUUCAUGGUGACACAGCCAAAGAUCUCAUCAUGGGAAUGGGUUGGUAGCUGAGGAUGAUUUGGGGGAAAAAGCAUUGGAAGUAAAAAAAAAAAAAAAAAAAAAGUCCAAAUCCGGGCAGGUCAAUAUGACAAAUGGUUCAAAAGCCAUCAGAGAAUUUCAACAAAACUGAUGAGAAAACUUAACCACUUCAACACAUCUAUUAUCCAGGCAUUUUACUAAAAGUAGACACAUACUCAAAGCUGAU
rnacentral:lncRNA from 1 species